AACCAUCAGGUGGAGCAAGUGUUUACUUUAAAAUGUCUGCUCUCCAGCACUGCCUUGUAGGUGCACAGUUUGUGGUGACUGGGAGUGGGGCUGAGCCUCAUCCCCAGUGGGCACAGCUGUGAGCAGCAGGGGAGCAGCACUGCCAGCAAUGAGCCAGGGAGUGCCCAGGGGCACUGACCAACACCCGAGGGCACAGAGGGCACUCAGGUGCAGUGCAUCAACAGGAGGGGAUAAAAGGCUGGGCUAAAGAACAACAAAGAGCAGAGAUCUGCAGCCUUCUGCAGCGAUGUUCCUCUGUAUGGGCAGAGGCCUGAAGCCUUCUGAUGAGGAAAACCUUAUUUGUAAAGUAAGUGAAAAGGUUUAUUGCUGCUUGUUCAUGUCUCUUCAAGAUGUCCUUCUCUGAGAAAGCUUGAGGAAAAAAAGCUUUAAACAGCCCUAAAAUGAAAAUAAAAUGUCACAACUGCGUUACAGUAUGAAAUAUAUGUCAGGAAGCUUGCAAUGGGACUUUUCUCUCCUAAAGGAUGUAGAAGUUCCAGCUUGGUAUUUCCCAGCUCCACAAAAACAGUGUAGACACCAUGUUCAGGAAGAGCAACAGUCUCACUCACCUGGGCUCCUAACACAUCU